UGGGGAAUCUUCCGCAAUGGACGAAAGUCUGACGGAGCAACGCCGCGUGAGUGAAGAAGGUUUUCGAAUCGUAAAGCUCUGUUGUCAGGGACGAGCAGGGGGAGUAUCAACAACACUCCCUCAUGACGGUACCUGACGAGGAAGCCACGGCUAACUACGUGCCAGCAGCCGCGGUAAUACGUAGGUGGCGAGCGUUGUCCGGAAUUAUUGGGCGUAAAGGGAGCGCAGGUGGGAAAGUAAGUCUGCUUUAAAAGUGCGGGGCUCAACCCCGUGAGGGAGUGGAAACUACUUUUCUUGAGUGCAGGAGAGGAAAGCGGAAUUCCUAGUGUAGCGGUGAAAUGCGUAGAUAUUAGGAGGAACACCAGUGGCGAAGGCGGCUUUCUGGACUGUAACUGACACUGAGGCUCGAAAGCCAGGGGAGCGAACG
rnacentral:rRNA from 1 species